rnacentral:rRNA from 1 species
AAAUUGAAGAGUUUGAUCAUGGCUCAGAUUGAACGCUGGCGGCAGGCCUAACACAUGCAAGUCGAGCGGUAGCACAGAGAGCUUGCUCUCGGGUGACGAGCGGCGGACGGGUGAGUAAUGUCUGGGAAACUGCCUGAUGGAGGGGGAUAACUACUGGAAACGGUAGCUAAUACCGCAUAACGUCGCAAGACCAAAGUGGGGGACCUUCGGGCCUCAUGCCAUCAGAUGUGCCCAGAUGGGAUUAGCUAGUAGGUGGGGUAACGGCUCACCUAGGCGACGAUCCCUAGCUGGUCUGAGAGGAUGACCAGCCACACUGGAACUGAGACACGGUCCAGACUCCUACGGGAGGCAGCAGUGGGGAAUAUUGCACAAUGGGCGCAAGCCUGAUGCAGCCAUGCCGCGUGUGUGAAGAAGGCCUUCGGGUUGUAAAGCACUUUCAGCGGGGAGGAAGGCGAUAAGGUUAAUAACCUUGUCGAUUGACGUUACCCGCAGAAGAAGCACCGGCUAACUCCGUGCCAGCAGCCGCGGUAAUACGGAGGGUGCAAGCGUUAAUCGGAAUUACUGGGCGUAAAGCGCACGCAGGCGGUCUGUCAAGUCGGAUGUGAAAUCCCCGGGCUUAACCUGGGAACUGCAUUCGAAACUGGCAGGCUAGAGUCUUGUAGAGGGGGGUAGAAUUCCAGGUGUAGCGGUGAAAUGCGUAGAGAUCUGGAGGAAUACCGGUGGCGAAGGCGGCCCCCUGGACAAAGACUGACGCUCAGGUGCGAAAGCGUGGGGAGCAAACAGGAUUAGAUACCUUGGUAGUCCACGCCGUAAACGAUGUCGAUUUGGAGGUUGUGCCCUUGAGGCGUGGCUUCCGGAGCUAACGCGUUAAAUCGACCGCCUGGGGAGUACGGCCGCAAGGUUAAAACUCAAAUGAAUUGACGGGGGCCCGCACAAGCGGUGGAGCAUGUGGUUUAAUUCGAUGCAACGCGAAGAACCUUACCUGGUCUUGACAUCCACAGAACUUUCCAGAGAUGGAUUGGUGCCUUCGGGAACUGUGAGACAGGUGCUGCAUGGCUGUCGUCAGCUCGUGUUGUGAAAUGUUGGGUUAAGUCCCGCAACGAGCGCAACCCUUAUCCUUUGUUGCCAGCGGUUCGGCCGGGAACUCAAAGGAGACUGCCAGUGAUAAACUGGAGGAAGGUGGGGAUGACGUCAAGUCAUCAUGGCCCUUACGACCAGGGCUACACACGUGCUACAAUGGCAUAUACAAAGAGAAGCGACCUCGCGAGAGCAAGCGGACCUCAUAAAGUAUGUCGUAGUCCGGAUUGGAGUCUGCAACUCGACUCCAUGAAGUCGGAAUCGCUAGUAAUCGUAGAUCAGAAUGCUACGGUGAAUACGUUCCCGGGCCUUGUACACACCGCCCGUCACACCAUGGGAGUGGGUUGCAAAAGAAGUAGGUAGCUUAACCUUCGGGAGGGCGCUUACCACUUUGUGAUUCAUGACUGGGGUGAAGUCGUAACAAGGUAACCGUAGGGGAACCUGCGGUUGGAUCACCUCCUUACCUUAAAGAA